CACUCUUCUGACCGCAGAAAUGCGUUUACACAAAACGACUGCCUUACAUAACCGUGCCAGCAGAUGGGCAGCGCGCACGCACACACAAACGCCCGCACACACACCUUUGCAGCAGAUGGAGACUUCAUUAUUCCAGAGAAGAAGCCAGCCUUUGUUUUGAGCUUAGAGGUGGACCGGCAGUCAAUUUCUAACAAUAAAUGAACUCGGUGUGCACCUGCUGGACCCACUAGUGACUAUGACACACGAUCAGCACCGAGCUGAGCAGCAGGAAGGACUUCCACGCAAGAUCACAGACGCAACCGAAAACCUCUGCCCCCUUCGCAACUGCAUCGAGGCACUACAAAACGGGGACACGGCGAAGCUGUGUUCAGGAUCCAAGAUGCCGCCGAGAUGGAUUUCCCCCCGUCGGAAUGUUGACAUUUCUCUCUUACUGUGUGUGUGUGUGUGUGUGUGUGUUUGUCUAUUUAUGUCUUCACGCUGAGCUCGAGAAAGAAGCCAAUCAAAAAUUGAUGAAUGCCAACGUCGACCUGCCGUCCCGCCACCGAUUUUCUAGCUCUGAGCUCCAGCGGAGGCGGCAGACGCGCGCCCAUUCAAGUCAGUUGAUGACGCAAAAAUAGAUGACGGAUCUCCACAGCUCGAGUCGCAGCUGGAGCUUGUUACUGC